GACGAACGCUGGCGGCGUGCUUAACACAUGCAAGUCGAACGAAGUGGUGAACGGGGGAGUAACGCGUAAUCAACCUGCCCUUCAGAGGGGGAUAACAGUUGGAAACGACUGCUAAUACCGCAUACGGAAGGAGGGGAUUGCGUCUGAUAAGCUAGUAGGAGGGGUAACGGCCAACCAAGGAGAAGAGAAGUAGCCGGUCUGAGAGGAUGAACGGCCACAUUGGGACUGAGAAACGGCCCAGACUCCUACGGGAGGCAGCAGUGGGGAAUCUUCCGCAAUGGACGAAAGUCUGACGGAGCAACGCCGCGUGAGUGAUGACGGCCUUCGGGUUGUAAAGCUCUGUUAAUCGGGACGCGGUACCGGAAUAGAAAGCCACGGCUAACUACGUGCCAGCAGGCGCGGUAAUAC
rnacentral:rRNA from 1 species